UGCGCAGGCGCAAUUUCCCGCAAACCCGGAAGCGGAGGGAGGGGCGCAGCCCUCGGUUUUUCUGUCACGACUGGGUAUUUUCGACGCCCCUCACGACCCCGAUCUGCCACAUCCAAGGUUGAGGCGUCGUCAUGUACGUUAAGAUCCCCUUUAUCCACUCGUCCGCCCUCGGACUGUCUUCUCAAGACCAGUCUUUGCCUGAGGAAGAAACCUAGAAGAGGAGGAAGAAGAAAGAACAGGAGUCAGGCAUGGCUCUUUCUCAGGCACAGUUGACCUUCAAGGAUGUGGCCAUCGAAUUCUCUCAGGAGGAGUGGAAUGCGUGGACCCUGCUCAGAGGGCCUUGUACAGAGACGUGAUGGUGGAGACCCUCAGGAACCUGCUCUCUGUGGAUACUCUUCGCUGGAGCUGCUAAUUUUCCUGUAUACCAAAGAAACAGCCAUCUGUGGACUUCUCUGAUGGUCCAGUGGUUAAGACUCUGCACUCCCAAUGCAGGGGGUCUAGGUUCGAUCCCCUGGUUGGGGAACUAGACCCCAGGUCACUACUAAGAACUGGGCUGCAGAGUUGGACUAUAAAGAAAGUUGAGUGCCAAAGAAUUGACUCUUUUGAAUUAUGAUGUUGGAGAAGAGUCUUGAAAGUCCCUUGGACUGCAAGAAGAUUCAACCAGUCCAUCCUAAAGGAAAUCAGUCCUGAAUAUUCAUUGGAAGGCCUGAUGCUAAAGUUGAAACUCCAAUAUGUUGGCCACCUGAUGUGAAGAACUGACUCAUUUGAAAAGACGCUGAUGCUAGGAAAGAUAGAAGGUGGGAGGAGAAGGGGAUGACAGAGGAUGAGAUGGUUGGAUGGCAUCACCAACUCAAUGGACAUGAGCUGGG